UAUCAUAACUUUUCUAGAACAAUAUGGUACCGAGAGUUGAAUGUCACAUUUUUUUCCCUCUUCCCUACAGAACCACCUGAAUGUGAGUUUCUAUUAUUAAUGAAGCCAAGAUCAGCAGAUCUACACAGGUGAGAGAAUAACAAGAUAUGCCUUAUUUACAGUCAAGACUUUUUGUGAUAUAGGAAUUUUAGAUGUUUUAUCACUCACCUGCUCACUUAUUGCAGAAACCUUUAUGGGAAAAUGAAGAAACCACUGAAGAAAAAUACUGGAGAAAAGUAUUCAUUAAUGGAAAACUGUGUUGGGAGAACAAAAGAAACUACAGAUUCAGUUGCUCUAAUUAAGGUAACAAGGAAGAAAACAAAUCUGACUCCUGAAAGAUGAAGAAGAAAACAAUUCCCUCACAGUUUUUACCAUAUCUAUUCCUUACAUUAUUAAUAAAAGACUACAUUUAAAUCAAGAGUAAAGAAUGACUAUAAUUUAUUGAAUACUUUUACUGCCAAAAGCUUAUGUAGAUUAU
rnacentral:lncRNA from 1 species